GUCCCUGUAGCGCAAUGGAUAGCGCGUUGGACUUCUAAUCCAAAGGUCGUGGGCUCCCAUCCCACCUGGGAUG